rnacentral:rRNA from 1 species
AUGCUUAACACAUGCAAGUCGAACGGUAACAGAUAAGAUGAUCUCUUCGGAGUGAAUCUUUGCUGACGAGUGGCGGACGGGUGAGUAAUGCUUGGGAAUCUGCCCAAUAGUGGGGGAAAACUCGGGGAAACCCGGGCUAAUACCGCAUAAUCUCUACGGAGGAAAGAGGGCCUCUACUUGUAAGCUCUCGCUAAUGGAUGAGCCCAAGUCAGAUUAGCUAGUUGGUAAGGUAAUGGCUUACCAAGGCUACGAUCUGUAGCUGGUCUGAGAGGAUGAUCAGCCACACUGGGACUGAGACACGGCCCAGACUCCUACGGGAGGCAGCAGUGGGGAAUAUUGCACAAUGGGCGCAAGCCUGAUGCAGCAAUACCGCGUGUGUGAAGAAGGCCUUAGGGUUGUAAAGCACUUUCAAUAGAGAAGAAAAGCUUAGAGUUAAUAACUCUAAGCAUUGACGUAACCUAUAGAAGAAGCACCGGCUAAAUCCGUGCCAGCAGCCGCGGUAAUACGGAUGGUGCGAGCGUUAAUCGGAAUUACUGGGCGUAAAGCGCGCGUAGGCUGUUUUAUAAGUCGGAUGUGAAAUCCCCGGGCUCAACCUGGGAACUGCAUCCGAAACUAUUUAACUAGAGUAUGGGAGAGGUAAGUAGAAUUUCCGGUGUAGCGGUGAAAUGCGUAGAUAUCGGAAGGAACACCAGUGG